CGAACAGACAAGCAGCAGCUAGCACCAUGUCACUGCCAGCUGCCUUACCGAAGCCUACGACUACUCCCGUUUGAUGUCCGAGCUGUGCAGCGGCGCCGGCUGGACGGCGCCGGUGACCUCCUGCAACCUCUUGCCCUUCGCCUGAUGACCGCGGCCGCCCGCGGUCCGUCGGCACAACAGUCUCUGGCUGAACUCCACCACCUCGGGCGCGAGCGCCCGCCACAGGAACAGCGCCCGGUACCACAGCGGGACGGUGAGGUGGCGCCGGCCGCGGCAGAUGGCGUCCACGGUGGCCUCGGCGCACCGCACGGCGACCUGAGGACGAACAAAACGAUCAAGAUUCAAGACACACCAUUCAUUCGGUCAGCAUAUUGUCAUCGUCAGUGUGUCUAUGGAUCGACCUCCACCGUCCCUUCCUUGGACAGCUGCUUCCCUCCGGUCAUCUCCGACACGAUCCACCCGGAAGUCGCGAUGGUGAUGCCGACCUCGUCGCGGAGCUCGACCCGCAGGGUCUCGAAGAAGUUGAGAACAGCAGCCUCGCUGGCCUGCAAUAGCAUGCAUCCACUCAAAUUUGUUUGGGCAUCGAGCGCACACGCGCCGGAGACAGCAGGGACGAUCUGGUUUUCUGUCAAGAAAUGCGCAGUACAUUGUAGAGGCUCAUUCCUGGCAUUGCCAGCGCCGCCGCAGCCGAGGAGUUGACGAAGACCUUCCCACCGCCGCUCUUCUUCAGAUGGGGAAGAGCGCAGUGGGUCGCAUGAACUGCGCCCCAGAAGUUCACGGCCUGCAAGCACCACCGUGACUAGCUAGUUAGUUCAGACAUCGAGAACCUUCAUCAAGAACCUUCAACCCUACCAGGACUCGCUUCAAAGCAGCAACAUCCGGUACGUCCUCAAACCAGCAGACAUUUGCUACACCAGCGUUGUUCACAAGAUGAUCCACUACAAGAGAAGAGACGGAGUUAAUGAUCCUACCGUGGAUUCGUUUUUUAGUUGUUCUAUUACACCAGCAGUCAUAGCUUACAUCGGCCGAAAUGUUCAACUGUGGCCUGCACAAACCUCCGGCAAUCCUCUGGUUUCGCAACGUCCCCGGCAACAACCAGAACGUCUGGCGAGCCGCCAUCCCUGGCUCUCGCCGCGACAUCAUGCAGGCUUCCCACCAUCCUCGCCACUAGCGCCAGUCUCGCUACCUUCUUUGCGUACUGGUAAGCUAUUUGCUGGGAUACAGUCAUACAGAUACGACUACGAGCUCA
rnacentral:misc_RNA from 1 species